rnacentral:rRNA from 1 species
UACGGGGGGAGCAAGCGUUGUUCGGAUUUACUGGGCGUAAAGGGCGCGUAGGCGGCCACCGCAAGUCGGUUGUGAAAUCUCUGGGCUUAACCCAGAAAGGUCAACCGAUACUGCGGGGCUAGAGUGCAGAAGGGGCAACUGGAAUUCUCGGUGUAGCGGUGAAAUGCGUAGAUAUCGAGAGGAACACCUGCGGCGAAGGCGGGUUGCUGGGCUGACACUGACGCUGAGGCGCGAAAGCGUGGGGAGCGAACAGG